rnacentral:rRNA from 1 species
AGCAGCCGCGGUAAUUCCAGCUCCAAUAGCGUAUAUUAAAGUUGUUGCAGUUAAAAAGCUCGUAGUUGAAUUUCGGAAUCAGUACGCUGGUCGUGCCUUCGGUAUGUACUGGUGUCACUGAUUCCUCCCUUCUGAAGAACCAUCAUGCCAUUCACUUGGUGUGGUGGGGAAUCAGGACUGUUACUUUGAAAAAAUUAGAGUGUUUAAAGCAGGCUCGCGCUUGAAUACAUUAGCAUGGAAUAAUGAAAUAGGACGUUAAUCCUAUUUUGUUGGCUUCUAGGAUCGACGUAAUGAUUAAUAGGGAUAGUUGGGGGCAUUAGUAUUCAAUUGUCAGAGGUGAAAUUCUUGGAUUUAU